rnacentral:rRNA from 1 species
UACGUAGGGUGCAAGCGUUAAUCGGAAUUACUGGGCGUAAAGCGUGCGCAGGCGGCUUUGCAAGACAGAUGUGAAAUCCCCGGGCUUAACCUGGGAACUGCAUUUGUGACUGCAUGGCUAGAGUGCGGCAGAGGGGGAUGGAAUUCCGCGUGUAGCAGUGAAAUGCGUAGAUAUGCGGAGGAACACCGAUGGCGAAGGCAAUCCCCUGGGCCUGCACUGACGCUCAUGCACGAGAGCGUGGGGAGCAAACAGG